CUUUGGGGACAGAGCCCGGUCAUGCAUUCCUCUCCUGAGGUGCUGACAGACCCAGUAUUGCCUGUGCACCGCUCCUGACCCUCCCUGCUAAGAUGUCCUGCCAGCAGAACCAGCAGCAGUGCCAGCCACCUCCCAAAUGUCCUCCCAAGUGUCCCCCAAAAUGCCCCCCAGUCUCUUCCUGCUGCAGUGUCAGCUCUGGGGGCUGCUGUGGCUCCAGCUCUGGGGGCGGGGGCUGCUGUAGCUCUGGGGGUGGUGGCUGCUGUCUGAGCCACCACAGGCGACGAAGGUCCCAUCGCCACAGACAGAGCUGUGACUGCUGCAGCCAGCCCUCAGGGGGCUCCGGAUGCUGUGGCCAGCCAUCUGGGAGCUCUGGGUGUUGCGGAGGGGGCAACAAUCAGUCAUCUGGAGGCUGCUGUUGAAGUGGACCUUGAUACCCUCUUCCCCUGACCUUCCUGAAAGGUGGAGAGAUCUGAGCAAAAGCUUAGGCUCUAGCCAGAGGAUCCCUCUACCCUGGUGUCCAGAAGCCCAAAACAUCUCUCUAAAAUUCAUUUUCUGCCUUUCUUCCCCCUAUCUGUGACUGUCCUGGGAAUCUCAAAGUGCAAACUUCUUGUUUCUCCACAACUUGUAUUAUUGCAUUCUGUUGUCAGAAUUAGAACAAUAAAAUUGAAUCUGAUCACUA